rnacentral:rRNA from 1 species
GAUGAACGCUGGCGGCGUGCCUAAUACGUGCAAGUCGAGCGAACGGACGAGAAGCUUGCUUCUCUGAUGCUAGCGGCGGACGGGUGAGUAACACGUGGAUAACCUACCUAUAAGACUGGGAUAACUUCGGGAAACCGUAGCUAAUACCGGAUAAUAUUUUGAACCGCAGGGUUCAAAAGUGAAAGACGGUCUUGCUGUCACUUAUAGAUGGAUCCGCGCUGCAUUAGCUAGUUGGUAAGGUAACGGCUUACCAAGGCAACGAUGCAUAGCCGACCUGAGAGGGUGAUCGGCCACACUGGAACUGAGACACGGUCCAGACUCCUACGGGAGGCAGCAGUAGGGAAUCUUCCGCAAUGGGCGAAAGCCUGACGGAGCAACGCCGCGUGAGUGAUGAAGGUCUUCGGAUCGUAAAACUCUGUUAUUAGGGAAGAACAUAUGUGUAAGUAACUGUGCACAUCUUGACGGUACCUAAUCAGAAAGCCACGGCUAACUACGUG